rnacentral:tRNA from 1 species
GCCGCAGAUAGGCUGCUAAUCGGAUAGGCAGCACGGAUUAAAGGCUUAGGCAUUGGUGGGUUCGACUCCCACCUGCGGCA